AUCCUUCCUUCUCCUGGCCCUAGCAGAAUCAAUGGCUCCCCUGUCCUAUGUCUGUACCUCCAUUACAGCAUUAAUCCCUCUGGGUUACAAAUCAUGGUGUGUCAUCUGUCUUUCCUACAAGAUUAUCAGCUCCCUGAGGACAGGGAUUCAGUAAUUCAUGUGAGGGUUCCCAGUGUCUACCAAUAAUAACAGCCUGCUGCAAAGAGUAGACAUUUCAGUAAAUGUUUGCUAAAUUCUACUGAACGAUUUACAGAAACUCAAGGUGUUGACUUUAUACAACUGCUCACUUUAGUAUACCAAACAGUCUAAGAAAAUGAGGGAAAUGGGAUUAGAAUCUGGGCAUCUCAUAUCCCACUACUGUACAUGAAGCAAUGAUUUCAGUGAUCACACUGAAAUGCCUUUUUAAAAAAAGAAGAGUGGAGAAGUGAGUAAAAAGAUGGAAUUGUGGAGGAGGGGUAUACUACUGAAGGGUGUGGUGGGAAAAUAAAUAUCCCGUCCAACUCAAAGUUUUAAGCUUGGCAGAGGAAAGGUAAGGACUGCAUCUUGAGAGAUUUGUGCCCAGACCACUGGCUGAGUUACUUCACGGAAAAGGACAUUUCUACUAAAAUUUUAUUUUAAAUAACAUAGGCAGAUUUUUCUGGUUGAAUUUAACCAACAAUAGAAAGAAAGAAACUCUACGUACCUCAAUCAUUACUUAACUGGAAGAAACAAAUGCCAAGACCUUCACUGUCUGUGGAGACUCUACUACUCUUUAAUUCUUUAUGGAUUCAAGGAAUCCCAUCUGAGUCACAGUAACCUAUAGCAGAGUUAAGUCUAAGUUCUCAAUCACAAAAGUGAGCUAUGCUGAUGAACCUUCCUGGGCCAGGAUGGCAAGAAAUGACUGUCCCAGUGCAGAGCUGGGAACAGAGAAGGCAAGCUGCCGAGUACCAUAUAUUUCUGAUAUUAAAUGCACAUUUAAAAAAAACUGUAUUUGAUAGAGCCAUCUCAAGGAAAAAAAAAAUGCAAUGAGAUAACCAAACCAUUUUCAAUGUGGAAUGAGAACAGCAAGUCCUCCUCAAUGAGAGGGAGCUGGAAACCACUUGUUGAAGUAGGGACAGUGAGUACCUGAAGCAGAUCCUAUGCCCAAAUGGUCACUGAAUUUUCUUUAGUGAUUUCUACAAGCCAAAAAUCAACAAAAACCAAACCAAAACAAAAACCAAAAUGACUAAAUAGUGGUGGGUUCAGAGUUAAUAAUUAUAUAGUAACUUUCAUUCCAAAGGUUCCAAACGCACAUCCCACUAUAGUUAUCUAAUACGUGCACAGAUAGAAAGAGACAAGGGGAGGCAGGGGCGGGGGAGAGUAUAUGUGGGGAGGGGUCAGAAGGGGAGACUGUUCCUUACAAACUUUCCCUUCUCUGCGGGAACUGUAACCACGUGAUAGCUAAUGGUCAGUGCUAGGAUCCACCCAAACGGAACAAAGUACAAAAGCCACCCUAUCCCCAAAAUAAGUAUUGAGGGUGCCAGAGAAACGAUAAGUGAGUGGCCUGUGAUGAACAAACUGCAAUUAGGGUGUGACAAUGAAGAUCCCCUCCCACAUGGUGCCAACUUUCGGGUUUCCAUGACCUGGCAGGAACCUCCACUAUCCAUCCUUUUCUGCCACAGAAGUGGAU